GUCCACGCCCUAAACGAUGGAUACUAGAUGUAAGAGGUAUCAACCCCUCUUGUGUCGCAGCUAACGCAUUAAGUAUCCCGCCUGGGGAGUACGGCCGCAAGGUUGAAACUCAAAUGAAUUGACGGGGACCCCGCACAAGCGGUGGAGCAUGUGGAUUAAUUCGAUACUAACCGAAGAACCUUACCCAGGCUUGACAUCGAUCGCAAAUCCCAGAAACGGGAUCCUCUCCCACAAGGAGACGUGAAGACAGAUGUUGCAUGGCUGUCGU
rnacentral:rRNA from 1 species